rnacentral:rRNA from 1 species
UUCGCAAUGCCCGAAAGGGUGACGAAGCGACGCCGCGUGCGGGAAGAAGGCCCUCGGGUUGUAAACCGCUGUCAGGAGUUAAGAAAUAUAGAGAUGUUAAUAGCGUCUCUAUUUGACGAAGGCUCCAGAGGAAGCCACGGCUAACUCUGUGCCAGCAGCCGCGGUAAUACAGAGGUGGCAAGCGUUGUUCGGAAUUAUUGGGCGUAAAGAGCACGUAGGCGGCCCUGCAAGUCAGUUGUGAAAGCCUUCCGCUCAACGGAAGAAUGGCAGCUGAUACUACAGGGCUAGAGUACGGGAGGGGAGAGUGGAACUUCUGGUGGAGCGGUGAAAUGCGUAGAUAUCAGAAGGAACGCCGGCGGCGAAAGCGACUCUCUGGACCGAAACUGACGCUGAGUGUGCGAAAGCUAGGGGAGCAAACGGGAUUAGAUACCCCGGUAGUCCUAGCCGUAAACGAUGGGCACUAAGUAGAGGGGUUUUA